rnacentral:rRNA from 1 species
CCCUUAGAUGUUCUGGGCCGCACGCGCGCUACACUGAUGCAUUCAACGAGUCUACAACCUGCUCUGAUAGGGGUGGGUAAUCUUUUGAAUGUGCAUCGUGAUUGGGAUAGAUGAUUGCAAUUUUUCAUCUUCAACGAGGAAUGCCUAGUAAACGCAAGUCAUCAGCUUGCAUUGAUUACGUCCCUGCCCUUUGUACACACCGCCCGUCGCUCCUACCGAUUGAAUGAUCCGAUGAAUAUCAUGGAUUGAGGAUGCAAGUAGGUUAGCCUAUCUUCAUCUUCGAGAAGUGAAGUAAAUCUUAUCAUUUAGAGGAAGGAGAAGUCGUAACA